CCUACGGGAGGCAGCAGUGAGGAAUAUUGGUCAAUGGACGAGAGUCUGAACCAGCCAAGUAGCGUGAAGGAUGACUGCCCUAUGGGUUGUAAACUUCUUUUAUAUGGGAAUAAAAUGUUCCACGUGUGGGAUUUUGUAUGUACCAUAUGAAUAAGGAACGGCUAACUCCGUGCCAGCCGCCGCGGUAAUACGGAGGAUCGGAGGGUUAUCCGGAUUUAUUGGGUUUCAAGGGAGCGUAGGUGGAUUGUUAAGUCAGUUGUGAAAGUUUGCGGCUCAACCGUAAAAUUGCAGUUGAAACUGGCAGUCUUGAGUGCAGUAGAGGUGUGCGGAAUUCGUGGUGUAGCGGUGAAAUGCUUAGAUAUCACGAAGAACGCCGAUUGCGAAGGCAGUUCACUGGACUGCAACUGACGCUGAGGCUCGAAAGUGUGGGUAUCGAACAGGAUUAGAUACCCGGGUAGUC
rnacentral:rRNA from 1 species